rnacentral:rRNA from 1 species
GACGAACGCUGGCGGCGUGCCUAAUACAUGCAAGUAGAACGCUGAAGGAGGAGCUUGCUUCUCUGGAUGAGUUGCGAACGGGUGAGUAACGCGUAGGUAACCUGCCUGGUAGCGGGGGAUAACUAUUGGAAACGAUAGCUAAUACCGCACAAUAGCAGUUGUUGCAUGACAACUGUUUGAAAGGUGCAAUUUCACCACUACCAGAUGGACCUGCGUUGUAUUAGCUAGUUGGUGGGGUAACGGCUCACCAAGGCGACGAUACAUAGCCGACCUGAGAGGGGGGUCGGCCACACUGGGACUGAGACACGGCCCAGGCUCCUACGGGAGGCAGCCGUAGGGAAUCUUCGGCAAUGGACGGAAGUCUGACCGAGCAACGCCGCGUGAGUGAAGAAGGUUUUCGGAUCGUAAAGCUCUGUUGUAAGGGAAGAACGAGUGUGAGAGUGGAAAGUUCACACUGUGACGGUAUCUUACCAGAAAGGGACGGCUAACUACGUG